CAGCAGCCGCGGGAAUACGGAGGGUGCAAGCGUUAUCCGGAUUUAUUGGGUUUAAAGGGUCCGUAGGCGGACUUAUAAGUCAGUGGUGAAAGCCUGUCGCUUAACGAUAGAACUGCCAUUGAUACUGUAAGUCUUGAGUAUAUUUGAGGUAGCUGGAAUAAGUAGUGUAGCGGUGAAAUGCAUAGAUAUUACUUAGAACACCAAUUGCGAAGGCAGGAUACCAAGAUAUAACUGACGCUGAGGGACGAAAGCGUGGGUAGCGAACAGGAUUAGAUACCCCCGUAGUCCCUGUCUCUUAUAA
rnacentral:rRNA from 1 species